AUCAGCAACCAGUCCACACAUCUGGACAUCACUCAACUCUGUCACACAUGUGCAGGUGCAUUUGCGAUUAUUUAUGGUGUUGAUUAUAAUUAUUGGUUCCAAAAGUUGGUAGUUAAAAAUAAUAAUAAUAAUAAUAAUAAAAAUAAAGUUCAGCAUUUUACUGCUUGGAAAUUACCAAUUGCUGAACCAUGUUCCUUCUUUUUUAUUACUCAACAAAGUAUCUGUCUUAUAGUACUGCUUUUCAGCCUGACAUGAAAACACAAAAAAAUGUCCUUGUAAUUUUUUUGUAACCUACAGUACAGUAGACAGCAAAAUAAACGAAAACUUUGAAAUUCAUAAAUGUUAAUUUAUAAAGCAGCAAACGGCUACUAAUUAUGAUGUUCAGUUAUCAUCAGUCGGUCACACUAAUGACUGUCUCUCUGUUUUGUCAGUGUCUAAAAUAGUGCCGAUCUCUGCCGCUGCUGCUGGAUCUCUGAUGUUGACAGCAAUCCUGAUAUUUUGUAUUUGCAGGAAAUGUAGAAAAACUGAUCAUGAAGCUGAGACUCAUGAAGAUGAGGUCACUUACAUUGAGCCGAUGUUCUACAAAAGAAAAGCACAGACACCGGAUGUUAAAGAGGAUGAUCAUGUGGAAUAUGCACCUAUCGCCAAGAGAAGAUGAUCAAACACGUAUCAGACCCACUUUGUGACUUUCACAGGAAGCUCCUGUGACUACCUCAGAGUCUGUCAUUUCAUCUCAGCUGUUUAAAACUGUAAUACAAGGAAUUUUAACAAAUUACUUUAAUCUUGUGCACACUGGAACAUUUUCAUGCUUGACUCUUAUAGCCUCUUAAAGACUAGUUUUUACUUUAAAAAAACAACAACAGCAAAAAAAACAAGAAACAUUUUGCAUCUGAUUUUUUUUUUUACAUUCUGUGCAGAUCUUCUGGAUGCUUGACUCUUAUAGCCUCUUAAAGACAGUUUUCUUUAAAAAACUAAACAACAAGCAAAAAAAACAAAGAAACAAUUUUGUCAUCUGAUUUUUUUUUUUACUAUCUGUGCAGAUCUUCUGGUGGACAAACAGUUGUGCUUAAACAUUGCUGAAUGUUUGCGGUUGACAUUUAACACAGACACUGCUAAGGCGUCAUUAGCGUGUGGUUAAAUGCCUUUUUCCAUUUCCAUUUCACAUGAAACUCACAGUCUGACUUUAGCAUUAACUAACCACUUUACCAUGAAAUACUGAAUCUAACAGAUACAUGAUCCUCUCAGAUAAAACAGUAUGUGAUAAAAUAUCAGUCAAUUCAAGUAAAGUCAGAUUUAUUCAUAUAGCACUUUUUUACAAUAGCAAUUGUUUCAAAGCAGCUUUACAGAAAAAUAUGAUGUUAAUGUUUAUAAUAUCGUAAUGCCUCAGUCAUAUUUUGCAGAUUUGAACCAGGAGAUAGUCUACAUUUUUGCAAUGAUGAAGUAGAGUUUUGAUACUGUAUAUACUGACCUACACAAAUAUACUGUAUGCAUGUUUUAUUCUCCAUUAUAAAGAGCUUAUACUCAAAGUCAGGUAGUUAUUUCUGAAAACUACAGAUGUUCUUGAUAUCAAACCCAAAACAGUUCAUAACCUGUUUUUGCAUGUCAGUGUCCAAAAGUCAUUUUAGAAAUAAAUGCAAUGUAUUGUUCACUGCUGUGAUUGUUAUAUCAUGCAGAUGUCUGAUGGUUGUUAUUGACUUAUUUUCACUUUGGGGUGUAAUUAAAUGCUAACAACACUGCUAACAAAAAAAUAUAUUUUUCAGUCGUAUAACAGUGCUGCCAACAAAAAAAGCAAAAUGCAACAGCAACACAUUUUGCAAAGACAGACACUUUUUCAGACAUCCCAAGUCUCCCGGAAGUCCCGGGAGUCUCCCGCAUAAUGAUAGCGGCUCCCUGAUGCCCGCAAAUUAGUUAAAAAUCUCCCAGAAUCUAGAGCGAGCGAGCAAAAGCGCAUGCGAGACAGAGACUGUGUUUCAAACCGUGUAGCGCGCGCACGGCAGAGAGGGAGAGGGAGCGAGAGACCUUGCGUGUGUGUGCGCUAGUGUGCGAAGCGCAUGUAAGACAGAUAUAGCAUCCUGAUUGGCCUGUUUCGGCAAAUCAACCAACCAAUUGUCAGUGUGGGCGGGCUUUUAUCUCUUCUCCCGAACCAAAUUAAUCAGUUAUGUCUAUCUAGAAACAGGAGCACCAUGGCGGAGGGAGAGUGCCACAAAAAAUAAAUAAAUAAAAAAUAAAUAAAUAAAUAAAUAAAUAAAAAUAAAAAACCAAGUAUAAGACACAUUUUACGGCAGACUACACGAAAGUCUAGUCUAGUGCUCGCUGCACUAUUUGUAACAGCGACUUCAGCAUUGCCCAUGGCGGGUUAAAAGAUUGCAAAAGGCAUGUUGAGGUGAGUUGACAUGUUUCAUUUCAUGUGCUUCGGGAUAGAUCCCUGAAAUUACUUUUUGCAGGUUGGGAUGUCUGUCUUUUUAAACUUUGUAAUGUCAUUUUGUCUGAGUCGUCUAUCUAGUGUACAAAAAUGUCAUUCAUUCAUUCCAGGAGUCCACAUCCAUUGUUGUGAUACUGCUGAAGCUGUGAUCCGAUUGGUCGUCACUGCUCUGAAAAUAAAACAGAUCAUAUAGAUAUAAAUAUUCUUGCAUAUAUUGGAGUUUUAAGAAUAAAGAUGGAAAUAUG
rnacentral:lncRNA from 1 species